rnacentral:rRNA from 1 species
AGAGCGAACGCUGGCGGCAGGCUUAACACAUGCAAGUCGAGCGGGCGUAGCAAUACGUCAGCGGCAGACGGGUGAGUAACGCGUGGGAACGUACCUUUUGGUUCGGAACAACACAGGGAAACUUGUGCUAAUACCGGAUAAGCCCUUACGGGGAAAGAUUUAUCGCCGAAAGAUCGGCCCGCGUCUGAUUAGCUAGUUGGUGAGGUAACGGCUCACCAAGGCGACGAUCAGUAGCUGGUCUGAGAGGAUGAUCAGCCACAUUGGGACUGAGACACGGCCCAAACUCCUACGGGAGGCAGCAGUGGGGAAUAUUGGACAAUGGGCGCAAGCCUGAUCCAGCCAUGCCGCGUGAGUGAUGAAGGCCCUAGGGUUGUAAAGGCUCUUUUGUGCGGGAAGAUAAAUGACGGUACCGCAAGAAUAAGCCCCGGCUAACUUCGUGCCAGCAGCCGC